AUGGGUGGAAGGUCUGUUGUUUCCGUUGAUGACUUGGAGUUUGAUUCCUCGCCUAAUAAUGUCAAGACAUUGGUUUUGUUUGGGCGAACUGACAAUGGCAAGAGUGCAACCGAUAACACUAUUCUUGAAAAAAAGGUUUUCAAGUCAAAGACAAGCUCCUCCAGUGUCACCGCCUCCCUUGAAUAUCCUGAAUCUUUAAAGGCAAUUAUUUCAUUCUAUGAUAAUCGAUAUUUGCUUUUCGAUAACAUUACAAAGAAUAAAGAGAAAAAUUCAAACAAGUUCAACAACUGCUCACUUUGGUAA